GACGAACGCUGGCGGCGUGCUUAACACAUGCAAGUCGAACGGAAAGGCCCUGCAUUUGUGGGGUGCUCGAGUGGCGAACGGGUGAGUAACACGUGAGUAACCUGCCCUUGACUUUGGGAUAACUUCAGGAAACUGGGGCUAAUACCGGAUAGGAGCUCCUGCUGCAUGGUGGGGGUUGGAAAGUUUCGGCGGUUGGGGAUGGACUCGCGGCUUAUCAGCUUGUUGGUGGGGUAGUGGCUUACCAAGGCUUUGACGGGUAGCCGGCCUGAGAGGGUGACCGGCCACAUGGGGACUGAGAGACGAACCAGAAGCCUGCGGUAGGCAGCAGUGGGGAAAAUGGCACAAUGUGCGGGAGUCUGAGGCAGCAGCGGCGCGUGCAGGAUGCAGGCCGUCGGGUGAGAAACGGCUUUCGCCUGUAACGAGGCGUGAGUGACGGUAAUGGGUAAAAAAGCACCGGCUAACUACGUG
rnacentral:rRNA from 1 species